rnacentral:snoRNA from 1 species
AAGCAGCCUCUUUAUCUGAUUUCCGGUGGCAUUGGAGGUGUUGCGUUGCUUGGAUAGUAAAUCUUCUGCUCUUCAGAUUAGCUCAGGGGAGGCUGUUGCUUGGAUAGUAAAUCUUCUGCUCUUCAGAUUAGCUGAGGGGGAGGCUCUGCUUCCCUCCUUGAAGCUUAUCUAGUAGUCUUAAGAACAUA